CGCUAGUGAAAAGUUGAACGUGACGCAGGCUUUGAGCUCUUUUCUACUAGUGGAUCGUCUUGGCGUGCCGCCGCAGAAACCAAAACGCGUCGGUGGCAGCGGCAUCACCGGCGGCGCAAAACAGGGAGAAGAAGCAGGUCCACACACCCAAUCAGUGGUCAACCCAUCUUUGGUCGUCGAUGUCGUCUCCCCGCAACCCGAUGUCUAUCAACCCGACCAUGGUGCGCAGCGCGCACACGACGCCGUCGCCCCAUCCGCUUAUGGACACCGAGCCCGACCCGCCGCCGCCGCCGCCGUUUGGCGAAUGGUCGUCGUACUCAACGAUCUUUGCCGAUCUGGCCGCCUCAUCCUCGAGCUGGAGCCGGAGCCGCCGCCCGCCGGCGCAGGUCGCGCCUCCUCUCCGACCUGGGCCGUCGGCGGCGCAGGCGGCGUCUCCCGUCCGACCUGGACAGCCGGCGCAGGUCCGAGCGAAUCUGCAGCGGCAGACGUUGAUCUAUGACCCCCUUGCGUGUUACUCGCCGGCUUUCUGGGUACGACUGACCCACCUCGAGUACGACCAGCUGGAAUCGGGAACGAGCAAGUCCCUGCCGGGUGGCCAUGUUGGGCCCUGGAACGUCGUGCUUAGAUACACAAAGAUUGUGGACGACAAAGGUUUGCCCGUCCAGGUGACCAUCAAGAGGCACCACGGCAGUUUCACGGACAAGGAAUGCAAGCGUAUACGGAAAGAGCUCAAGCGCAUGUGCACUCUACGACACAAGAACCUUGUCAAGCUGCACGCCGAAGAUAAAGUUAUUGGAGCUGUUUUGACACAAGAGACCAAAGGAAAGGAGCAC
rnacentral:misc_RNA from 1 species